AUUGAACGCUGGCGGCAUGCUUUACACAUGCAAGUCGAACGGUAACAGGUUAAGCUGACGAGUGGCGAACGGGUGAGUAAUGCAUCGGAACGUGCCCGAUCGUGGGGAAUAACGCAGCGAAAGCUGCGCUAAUACCGCAUACGAUCUGAGGAUGAAAGCGGGGGACCGUAAGGCCUCGCGCGAUCGGAGCGGCCGAUGUCAGAUUAGGUAGUUGGUGGGGUAAAGGCUCACCAAGCCGACGAUCUGUAGCUGGUCUGAGAGGACGACCAGCCAGACUGGGACUGAGACACGGCCCAGACUCCUACGGGGGGCAGCAGUGGGGAAUUUUGGACAAUGGGCGAAAGCCUGAUCCAGCAAUGCCGCGCGCAGGAAGAAGGCCUUCGGGUUGUAAACUGCUUUUGUACGGAGCGAAAAGGCUCUCUCUAAUACAGGGGGCUCAUGACGGUACCGUAAGAAUAAGCACCGGCUAACUACGUGCAAGCCGCCGCCGUAA
rnacentral:rRNA from 1 species